rnacentral:rRNA from 1 species
GCUCCUACGGGGCGCAGCAGUGGGGAAUUUUGGACAAUGGGCGCAAGCCUGAUCCAGCUAUUCCGCGUGUGGGAUGAAGGCCCUCGGGUUGUAAACCACUUUUGUAGAGAACGAAAAGACACCUUCGAAUAGAGGGUGUUGCUGACGGUACUCUAAGAAUAAGCACCGGCUAACUACGUGCCAGCAGCCGCGGUAAUACGUAGGGUGCGAGCGUUAAUCGGAAUUACUGGGCGUAAAGGGUGCGCAGGCGGUUGAGUAAGACCGAUGUGAAGUCCCCGGGCUUAACUCGGGAAU